CCGAGUUCAUGCCCUUCGGGGUAGAUCUCCCACCCUUUGUUUACUAUACUAUGUUGCUUUGGCGGACCGCCUGAUCGCCCCUCGGGGUCUUCAGCUACCGGCUUCGGCUGGUACGUGUCCGCCAGAGGACCCAAAACCCUGAAUAUUAGUGUCGUCUGAGUAAAAAGUUUAAUAUUUA
rnacentral:misc_RNA from 1 species